rnacentral:lncRNA from 10 species
AAGGGAGUGAGAAAUAAACUACUUUUGCUUUUAAGCCGUUAUAAAAUUUGGCAUGAAUUUGCCAAGCAACUCAACAUUAAUCUACUGUCCUUGAAUUAAUUAUAAAAGUUGCAGACAGUCUUGAACAUUUAACAACACAGACACAAUUAUUCGUGAGGAAUUAAAAUUGGGAAAAGUUCUAAUACUUUUUUUUUUGUAGAACAUUUUUACCAAUUUAAAAAAGUGAUCAUUAUAGAUUAACUUGAAAUCACAAUGCAGAAUUGUGUUAUGCCAUAGAUCACUCAAUAAUUUGUUGUCACAUAUAUGCUUCUCUGCCAAUCCUAGUAGACUUCACACCUUGUGCUAUAUUAUUAGUCUUCCUUUUAUGAGGCAGACAGUACCCAUUUCAUAAAAUAUGAAGACUAUAGCUUCGGGCCAGAGGAUUUGAAUUUUCAUACUAGAGGUUAUAAUAUGUGAUAUCAUGAGCUUGUUUUUAUUGUCCUAGGAGGCUGAUAUUCCUAAUCUAUUCAUAAGGAUGGCAUAUCUACCCAGUGGGCCUGCUGGGACUCCAGUUACCCGAUGCACAUACAUUGCUUGGUGUGGCAGUUUCGUGUGCAUUUUUGGUGAUGAUGCUCCACGGAACAUCUGCAGAUGUGCUGUCAAUUUGGACAGCUCUGACUACCGAGUGAAUGGGAAGUACUAACGAGAACUGUCUGCUUGGGAACUCCAUGAAGUUCGUGGCUUUUGUGAUUGAAAUAGCAUCAAUAAAAGGUUGACACUGUGGAACAACACAAGCCUGCAUGGACCUGGUUAUCUCUGACCUCGCACCACUCAUGAGACCAUACCUGAGCCCUACUCCACUUUGGCAGAACUGUUGCAUGGCCUCUCUUCAUAUAAUACCUCUCCGUACACCGUACACCGCAGCUCAAAGAAAGGAUAUAUGCUCCCUGUGAAGACUAAUGGAACUGUCCCUCCUGAUCCUCCUACAGACUUCCUCUGGCCUAAUGGGUGCACCAUUGCAUUAUAUCUGCCAUCUAUACACACAUAUACCUUUCAACCCUGCACUCUCUGAGAUGACUGGACUCAUGCCUAAAUAACUGAUGCUGUCCCUAGUGUAAGGAAGCUGCCUGACGAGGAGCUGUACGGAAAUAAGAGUAAUUCAGUGAUGGGGUCCAAGCAUCCUGAAUAUAAGCGGUCCAUGUCAAGAAAGAGCCAAAGGGCGUCCUCAGGACAUGGAAGAGGGGCAUUCCAGGCUGGCAGCUGGGGAGGCCCAGAGAGCCCUGGAGAAGAUCUGAAGUCCAUUGCAGAGCUUUCUUUAAGACUACUGAAUUGUACAGAAGAAGCAGAA